CCUACGGGAGGCAGCAGUGGGGAAUAUUGGACAAUGGGCGAAAGCCUGAUCCAGCCAUGCCGCGUGUGUGAAGAAGGUCUUCGGAUUGUAAAGCACUUUAAGUUGGGAGGAAGGGCAGUAAGUUAAUACCUUGCUGUUUGGACGUACCAACAGA
rnacentral:rRNA from 1 species